ensembl:lncRNA
AUGUAUCUAUCUAGACUAAUAAACCCAUUUGUCUGUUCAUUCACUUCCUUUAGAUCCAUGAUUGAACACAAAGUGGCACACAAUAUGAAGUACUACACAGUUGAGACUGGCAAUACUUUGGAAACUCAUAUUCAGUUUAUGAGACGACUCAACAACACCACAAGAUGUUUUACGGAAGUCAAGUCUCCAGUGGAGAGUGAUGUCAUCAUGGCUUUCUGUCCCAUCGUCUCCCGCGCCGGGACUGAUAUUGAAGCAGCACUGCAACAGAUUCCAAUGGGUAAAGAUGUCAUUCUGGUAGUGCUGCAUCACACCUUCAACCCAGACUACACUGUACCUUACAGCAGCAGACUAGUGACCAGAAGUGAUGUAAUACUCACAGUGGACUGUCUGUUCCAUGAGAGACUGGGAGGACUACUGGACUGUCCUCGCAAUGAUGCAGCAGUCAGAAAUAUUAGGCAGAAGUUUGACACAGUGGACUGUCUGUUCCAUGAGAGCCAGGGACUACUGGACUGUCCUCACAAUGAUGCAGCAGUCAGAAAUAUUAGGCAGAAGUUUGACACAGUGGACUGUCUGUUCCAUGAGAGCCAGGGACUACUGGACUGUCCUCACAAUGAUGCAGCAGUCAGAAAUAUUAGGCAGAAGAUUGACAUAGAUCCUGUGGCCAGAAAUCGUGACUGUCUAGCUUGGAUUCUAAACGCUGCCAUGACCAGAAGUUGUGGCUUUCUAGCUUGGAUUCUAAACGGUGUCAUGUGGGCAGUGUCUUCAGGCUACAACUACGUUUUCAUUCACAAUCCACAUCCCUCUACAAGGCCUCAUUCUGACAGUCUAUCUGUGAUUCGGAGCAAUAUAAUGUACACAGUGUCUUCAGUCUACAGCUACCUCUGUACACGGCUUUCAUAUGUGAAGCGGCGCUUCUAGGACAAUAAUUAGGUUCCAGUUGGUUCAAA